CUACAGUGCUUCUGCGGAAUCAGACGUCAAAGUAAGGAACCAGCCUCUACAGAAAGCAGCUUUUGUAAUCUUUCUCAGCUUUUGCAGGAAAGCUGAUUCAAGGCUGUGAGAAGAGGUUUCCUGUGGCUGGAAGGAGCUCACCCAUGCCUGGAUUCCCACAUGACAGAUUUCACCCUAAGCUGGUGGUGAUGGUGAGGACGAAGGAGAUUGGGUCGGCAUGAGGUUGCAGUGGGGGAGGUGCUGCUGCACCUCUGAAGUCUGCCUGGUGGGACUGGGGCUUUCUUUUUGUCAAAAGGGAGCCCAUGCGUGGCAAGAAUUUGAGAGCAUGGAUGAGUGGAAAAUGCUAGAAAAAGACAGAUGAGUUAAAUACUCAUCGGUCUUGAGAAGGUUAUACCACAAAGUUUACUAAAAUGCAACAUAAACAAGUACACACACACACAUAUUCUGGCUUUCUUUUAUCUUCUGGUCUGCAAGGCGAAGCUGGAAUGUAAUUGGUCCUGGGGGAGAUUGGUAGGGUGAGUAGCACUACAAUGAGCCUAGGUUCUCCUGAGGAAAAACAAAAGGGGAGUAGCAGGAAGAAAAGCCGCACCAUUCCAGAAAGCACUGAAUGAAGCACAGCUAUUAAAUAAUAAUUAAAAAAAAAACAACAGAAAGCAGGUAAAGCGUAAAGAUACAUUGAUUCACUGAUUGAAAGACUUCCAUACCUUGUUUCUACUAAAAGUAUUUUCCAGUGAUUAAAGCUAUAGGCCCACAGGCAAGUGUUGUAGAACAAAAAAA